ACACCCUGUCUGUCUGUGUGCAUUUAGAGCACGUUCUCAAGAUCGAGUCUGAUUCUCACAACGACCCCAAGUAACCACAAUGACAAGUGUGAUGAGUUUCCCACAGUUCACAGAACAAGAUGGGAAGAAUGGUCCAGAAUCAUCCCACAGAUAAACUUCAAGCUGACAACGCCUUGGAUUUCAAGAACUUAAGCCUGCACUUUGCUUCUAUGAGGAACUGCCAAUGUUUUGCCCUCAGGCAAAGAGGAAACCUGAUUUCUUUCCCCUGACCAUGUCUCAGAAUGUCCAGUUCCAGCCGUUAAGAUCUCUCCCCUGCUGCAAUCUGCUAAUUAAGAACAUACUCUGUCACCUCUCUCGCUCUCCCUCUUCAUCUUCCUCUCCCUUUCCCUCUUUUCCCCUCUCUCCACCUCAUUUCUUAAUUUUUCCCUCCUACUCUUCCUCCCUUUCAUAACAUUGCAUCAUUUCUGAUUGUCCUGCUUUGUGAUACAGUUCAGGGAGGUUUGACACAGAGAAGAACUGUCAGUUCUUUAAUCACUUCUUUAUUAUCAAGAUAGGGAGAGAAAUGCCAUUAUCUUUCACAACUUCACUUUGUGGGACAGAUGUAUU
rnacentral:lncRNA from 1 species